CUUCGAUAUGUGUAGGGGAUGCUGGGAUGGGCGCUGUUGAGAAUUAGGAGAAAGUUUGCAAACUCUAUAAUGUAUUGAAGGAGAGGGAUUAGAGGAGGACAAGAGGAGGUAAACCGAUAGCCCAAAAGUGGACUGAUGAUCAUUCACGAAAAAUUUACGAUACUAUGAAACUGUUCCGAAAGUAUUGAAGCAACUUUUUCAUGUACAAAAUCAAAU